GUCUGGUGUAAAGUAAUUAUGCAUGAAAUAGAAGUUUCCAAAGACAAAAAUUACUACUUCUUUUCAUGUUUCUAAUAUUUUCCCACAGGUUAAUGAAAUGUAGUCAUUUAAAAAGAGGUUACUACAGAAAUAGAGAUAAUUAGGGCAUAUUUAAAUUUAUGUCGUUUUCCCCUUUUCAAUGGAAUGACUCUAUACAAAAAAAAAAUUC